GCCCUGUUGGCUUAGUGGUAAAGCGUAUCACUAGUAAUGAUAAGAUCACUGGUUCGAUUCCAGUACAGGGCA
rnacentral:tRNA from 1 species